AGUGUUGGGUCGCUAGCCGGUUCUAAUGGGGAGCAUCCAUUAGAGUUAAUGGGGAAAGUUUGGUGCAAAUCCAACGCUGUCCCGCAACUGUGAUCGAGGGAAAUUCCUCUAAGCCAGAACGCCCGCCGACAAAUUAGCGCCAAC
rnacentral:ncRNA from 2 species